UGUUAUAUAAAACCAUGCUUGCCAUGACUUUAUUAGUUAAAUCUAAUAAGCAUUUUCUCUAAUUCUCUACAGAUCUCUCAGGCUGGGUGUGGGACACACGCUGUCUUAUUCAUGUGUCCCGUGCUGUGCUGACUGAGCCUCAGGUUUUGGCUUUGCUGGAAGAUCUAUGCUACUGUGGUAAUUUGAGAGUCUAGGUUUUGGAAUUGGCCUGACUACGCUCUGCUUUUUGGCCUUGGGUUCAGAAGAAAACCAAUGGUCUUCUGACCAUCACGCAUCAAUCACUCAGCCAGGCUUUUAACCUGUUGUUGCACGGUACAGAGGGUUACAUCUACCAUCAGAUCCUUGCUAAGGUUUUUCAGAAGUCCAGUUUAGAGCUUUGUAGCUGGGCAAGAAAAAUAGAAGAAAUUCCUUGGCAUCUCAAGCAAACUGGUUCAUUUAAGGAGUUGCAUGAUUUCCUCAGUGAUCCGGCGUACGUUCACUCUAGUUUUGCUUUGAAUACAAAUAUUUAGCUAAUUCAGCAACUGAGUUUUCAGUCAAUAAUGGAAUAAUUCCUACAUUUUUUCCUACAUUAAUUCCUACAGUUUUUGUCAAGCAGCCUGAAACAAUACCCACAGAUGACAACUGACUUUAUACAUUAUUGGACACUACUAAGGGAGAGAGGCUAUUUUUAUCAUCAGGAGCAAAUAACAUUUAAAAAUUACACACACACACACACACACACACACGACCAUUAGGGAAGUCGUGGCCUAAUGGUUAGAGAGUUUGACUCCUAACCCUAAGGUUGUGGGUUUGAGUCUUGGGCUGGCAAUAUCAUGAUGAUCCAAAAUACGGAAAAGGCAGUAAAAUGUUUUUACUAUUUAAAAUGACUACUUUUUAUUUGAAUAUAUUUUAAAAUGUAAUUUAUUCC
ensembl:lncRNA